GACGAACGCUGACGGCGUGCUUAACACCUGCAAGUCGAAGGGAGUGGCGAACGGGUGAGUAACACGUGAGUAACCUGCCCUUUUCUUUGGGAUAAGCCUGGGAAACUGGGUCUAAUACUGGAUGGAUUGGGCUGGGCUCGCGGCUUAUCCGCUGGUUGGUGGGGUGAUGGCUUACCAAGGCUUUGACGGGUAGCCGGCCUGGGAGGGUGGUCGGUCACACGUGGACUGUGAGACGGCCCAGACUCCUACGGGAGGCAGCAGGGGGGGAUAGUGCACAAGGGACGAAAGUCUGAUGCAGCUACGUCGGGUGGGGGAUGAAGGCCUUCGGGUUGUAAACUCCUUUCGACCGCGGAAUGGGAGUGGGUAAAGAAGCGCCGGCUAACUACGUGCCAGCAGCCGCGGUAAUAC
rnacentral:rRNA from 1 species